UUACGGCCAUAUCACGUUGAAACAUCGAUUUCCGUAUGAUCACCGAUGUUAAGCAAUGUCGAGCCUGUUUAAUACCUAGAUAGGUGACUACUUGGGGAUACCGGUUGAUGUAA